GCCCAAAAGGCAUGAUCCAAUUUGUCAGGCUUACCACCUCCUCUGAAAAGGUCAUUGCAAACAUAAGAACGUGGUCUAAACUUGGUACAGGUAUGUCUUCUCUGUAAACCUUAUUUCUAGGAACUGGAAUGUUUAGAAGCAGUUUCUGUGUUGGAGAAUUAUCUGAUAACCGCAGGGAUCUGAGGCAAAACACAUUUAGCUGCAACUUCCUUGUAAUGGAUUUGCCAGUGUAAACAACCGUGUCCCUUAAGUCUCUUCCUGUAAACUGCUUCAGAAAAUAGCCUGAAAUGCAAGAUCCGUGGCUGCCUGAUACAUGAGCUGCUGUGGAAGUUCCUGCCCUCAAGUGCAGAGAACACGUAGCCUCUGAUUUAGCUGUCAUUUCUUAACCACUGUUUUGUCCAGCUCUGCCUGUGGCUGCUGCCAGUGGAAGAGUUGAGCAGGAGGUGGGUGCUGGAGCAGCAGUGGGGGUGCUUCCAUCCUCUCCUCCCUGUGGAGAGGCUGUUGUUCAACAGAAUGAGCUGCUGAAAGGUGGUCUUCUGGGUCCUGUUCUCAUGGAGCAUUUUCCAGACGUCAGCAACACAGAGAACCGUGUAUUUGCUGAGUUCCUUUUAAAUCGAUGCUGUAACCCAGCAAAGAAGUGUGGAGAUGAGGCCCAAGAACGCUGGAUGACUGAAGAAAAUCGUUCUAACGCGUGCAGUCAAGCAUUCCAUCUGGAGCAUCCCGGCCAGAGCAUCUUCACUGAACCAUCCCCACGGGAGCAUCCCAUCCAGAGCAUCCCCAGCGGAGCUUUCCCACCGGAGCAUCCCAGCCAGAGCAUCCCCAGCGGAGCUUUCCCACCGGAGCAUCCCAGCCAGAGCAUCCCCACCUGCCCCGUGGCGCCGGCGGCGCUUCUUACGUGAUUCAUACCAGAAGAGGCACAGGAUGAGGCCAAGGCUGGGAAUUUUCCCUGUGGAAGAGGGGAUGCAGAGAAGGCUUCUGAGGGAGCAGCAGCUGAUGGUCCACACACCCAGCAGCUCUGGUGCUCCCACCCAGCAGCUGGGUGACGGCCAAGGCAAAGCUGUCGCCGUCCGGCGGCUAUUGGGUGACUGAUGUGACAAGGGGACACUCCAAGGAAAAGGGGAAGAAAGACAGGCAAGUCAGUCCUGCAUCUCAAUUCAGGUUAACAGCCGUGUGCUUUGCAACUAGGAAAGGUGAAGACCUUAAUUUCAGCAUUUCUUCUGCACUCUGCAGCCCAAACACGGCCCAUCUGCUCUGUGUGAGAGCCUUGGUGCGCCACGUGUGUAUUUCUGUGUCGCAUCCAGAGAAGUGGAUUAAUUUCAAUGGACUCAACCAACCGCCUCAGCCCUCGGCUGUGUGGUAGUGGGGAUGAAGGACAGUUUCCACCUUACAUCGUCUCACUGUCGGAGGUUUUGACCUUGCUCACACGUCUGUUACUGCUUGAUUUAUCUUCACUGACAUUCAGACCAUGACCCUACCAAGGGCGUUAUCAGCCCAUCUCUGGAUUUCAGUGGCCAAAAGCUCAAAAGCCGGGGCCUCAGCAAGAACUUCCUCUGCCUAACCAAUCAGUCUCUGCUAAACUGAUUCAUCCCACUUUAAUCACUUUCUUCAGGAGGUCUCUUUGCCUCCUGGAACCACCCGGUUCACUAGAAAUCACGCUUUUGGAUGUAUUAGAAAUGUAGACCUCAUAUUCCCACGGGCAAGUGGGGAUGUGGUAGAAUGAGUGUGCAUGUUGUAUCUUAAUAAUCGAUUCUUGUGGAGUUGUCAGAGUUUUUGAAGAAGGUUUGAAAUGGGGACCAGUUUUAUCUCACACCAGGCACUGGGUCCUUACUUAACUGUGCAAGUCCAUGUAGAUUUCUUACCCUAAAAAAUAGUAUUAUGCAAUAAUCAGAUAUUAUUCGGUGAGUAUUUGGUAAGUAACAACUGCCCUGAAGAUUAAAUUAAAGGUCUUAAAUAAGAGUUUAAAGAAAACAGGUUUUGGGGAAAAAAAGUCUUUGAAGGUACCUACUUGAGUUCAGAUUUAUAUUUCCUCGAAGAUGUUGACAUUUCUCCUUUGCACUUGUAACAUAUUUGUUCAUAUAUGCCAUUGUACAGCUCCUUUUGAGCUGAAUAUUGUACUGGAAUACAGCGAAUGCCAAAUAUAAGAUGUGAAACUGGAGGAGAUCAUAUUUCCUACUGCAUAAAAUGCACUUCUGGAAUUUUCAGUUCUUCUUUUCUGCAAUAUUACAAAUGCCUUUUAUAAAGUAUCGUGGCUGAUGAGCUUAAAAAAAAGAAAUAAGAAAAAAAAAGAACAACGCCUGUGGCUUUGGAUGUAUUCACUUCGAGUCUGUGGUUAAUAUUUCCCAGGCUGCUUAGAGGUGAGCCGAAGUUCAGUCAUCGCCGCUGCUCCGCCAGUCUCUGCUGCUGUUUCUAAAUGAUUCUGAUAAAAGAUUGUGAAAAAUAGACCUGUGGUAACUU